rnacentral:rRNA from 1 species
UACGGAGGGUGCAAGCGUUAAUCGGAAUUACUGGGCGUAAAGCGCACGCAGGCGGUCUGUCAAGUCGGAUGUGAACUCCCCGGGCUCAACCUGGGAACUGCAUUCGAAACUGGCAGGCUAGAGUCUUGUAGAGGGGGGUAGAAUUCCAGGUGUAGCGGUGAAAUGCGUAGAGAUCUGGAGGAAUACCGGUGGCGAAGGCGGCCCCCUGGACAAAGACUGACGCUCAGGUGCGAAAGCGUGGGGAGCAAACAGGAGUAGAUACCCGGGUAGUCCACGCCGUAAACGAUGUCGAUUUGGAGGUUGUGCCCUUGAGGCGUGGCUUCCGGAGCUAACGCGUUAAAUCGACCGCCUGGGGAGUACGGCCGCAAGGUUAAA